rnacentral:lncRNA from 1 species
CCGCUCGGCCGAGUUUUCAAAUCAAAAUCACGGGAAAAGCCAGUCGCCACCGCCGCCACCACAAAAGCUUUCUCUAUCUCCUUCUCCCUUUUGUCUCUCAUUUUCUCUAUGCGACAUACAGAUACAAUUUUUCUAGGUUUUAGGUUUUUGGAAAAUUUUGAUUUGUUUCUUUGAUCGAUUGAUUGAUUGAAUAAGUAUAGAUAAUAGAUAGACUCAAUCCUUCUUAUUGUGUUGUCAUGUUGAGUUAGAAAAUUUUGAUUGAUGAUGUUGUCAUGUUGAGUUAGAAAUUUUUUGUGUUGUUAACCUUUAACUUCGAAUAAAAAAUAUGGUGUUGAGUUAGAAAAUUUGAAGAAAUUUGGUUGAAAUAUAUUGUUAUUUAGAUGUAAUACAUUGUUAUUAACUUUAAUGUGAAUGUUGUGCAAUCGCAAGCAGAAGCAGAAGAACCACCGCCUAAUGUUGUGCAAUCAAUUAUUCUUUUCGUUUCAUUUUUCUCAAUUUUUGUCAUAAAAACCCUCCGAUGAUGCAUAUUCAUAAUUUUUCUCUGCAUAAUAUGGUUUGGUUUCUCUUUGUUUUCACUCUAAGUAUAAAAAACUAAACAAGAUCGUUUUUUCCUUCUGCUUCUCAAAUUGAUUCAAUAGGAUUGAAAUUUGUGGUUUUGGUUUUGUUACAUGUCCACAACCAUUUGUGAGUUUUGGGGUUGAAACACUGUUGGCAUUUUAUUAAUGUCUAAUGUUUUUCUGGUUUUAGGAAAAACUUUACCAGUGGAUUUCGAGACAGCAAGAGGGUGGAUCAAGAGUUGCAACAUAUACUUAACUACCGAUAACGGCUUCAGUUAAAACUUUUCAAUCAUAGCUCACAGUUCAAAAUUCUAAUAACGUAUACGGUUGAUUUUUCAAAACCUUGGUGAUGUGAUUCUUUGUGCUGCUCCCAUCUCGCUUCAUCUCCUACCUCGCAUCUUCUCCUUUCUGUCACCGUGGUCCGCAUUAUGCCGUAUUCAUCCUCAAAAUUUCGUCGUCAUUACAUGUACCAGCGUCGUCAUCCUCCUCACAUGAGCUACCUACUCUCACCCAUGUCUUCCUUGAUGAAUAAUGAAAUAUUCGGUACAAAUUCUUUGCUAUUGUUAUUGUCGUGAAUUUCUUUUUGAUGAAUAAUGAAAUCUUACAAUUCUUUCAUUUAGGUUCCUGAUUUCUUUACUCUUCAGUUUGUCUGUUUAAUAAAAUUAUUUUAUAUUCCUUCUAAUGCAAUCAUUUUUUGUUCCUGCCACUGUAAUUUUAGUUCAUCAGCCACGACUUUUUAAGAAUCAUUUUUCUAUUUGUAAAAUUGUGAGCAGAGAACAUGACAAAAGCCAACCCCUCAUCCUCACAAAAGAGUAGUACAUCGCCAAGGUAAUUAUAUACUAAUUUAUACUUCUAUAAUUACAUAUUUUCAUGAUUAAAUGUUCAUGGAUAAUAUACCCAUUGAUGUUUGUUGUAUUAUAUAUUCCUUCUAUAUGAACAAAAUCCUUUGUUUUGAGUUGAAAUAUUUUGUGCCUCUUAUACGUCCUUUUGUAGAUGAAUUAGCAUGAAAUUCUUGCAGUGAAUAUCAAUGCUACAAUCAUUAAUGAAAUAUAUAUUAUUAUCUUACUGAGAUGCUAAUGGUUGUAGAAGCUUCAUCUCCAUUGUAUCAAGUAUAUAGUGAUAAAAGUUCUCAUUAAUUUCUUUUGAUAACUAUUAUUAUAUAAAACACUAUAAAAGACCAUGAACCGAAAGUUGAUUGAAGUGAUAUUUAGCUGCAUGCGACUAACAUGAAUAGUCUUUGUAAAGGUGUCCAUAAAGCUCUCUCUAAUUGAAGUAUUUCAAUUUUAGGAGAGGAAUAUGAGGCUAAAGAUCAUCAUGUUCCUAUCCUCAGUACUUUUUCUUUAACAAAAGCUACAAUGAUUAAGCUACAAUCAAUAUUUCAUAUUUAUUGAUAUAAUCAACAACCUCAUAUGGAUCAAUGAAGUCAAUCACAAUCAAUUUGACUUCUUGAAUCAAAUGACAAGGAUGGAGAAAGUGAGUUCAAGGGGAAUUGCAGGAAUUAUAUUUGGGAUCUUUUGCAUAUAAAAGAGGAUUUCAAAGUUAUUGAUGGAAUGACAUAUGACUUCAGGUAAUUAAAUUAGUGAGUUCACUUUUUUCAAUUUACUCUGUUAAUUUUGUUAAUUUGUCGUCUUAAUAACAUAUUUUGAAUGAUUUUGAAUGAGUGGCUUUAUUAUUAUAGCAACAAAUGGACCACCACUUCCUCAUAUGUAAUGCUAUUAGUAAUUACUUAUAUUUGAUGUUUUAUGUUGUGUUAUUGGUAUUAUGCUUCAGGAUGUACCACCGUAUCUUUUGUUUUUGAGGAAUGAUGGAAUCUUUUCACAUUGGAUCAUUGACCUACAGAUGUUAAUGUAAGUUUUGUAUUUCUACAUCAUUUUAUUCUAUUUAUUUCGAGUUGACUCAUUUUAAAAACUUGGAUGUUCACUUUAAAAACUCCCUAUAGUUUAUUUUUGAUAGAUUAGGUAACCAUAUGCAAUGAGCAGGAUGGAAUUACACAUAAAUGCAGAUUGUAUAAUUAUGUUCAUCACCAUUGGACCUAGGUUUGAAGUGUGAACCAUGGCAACAAAAAUUGUAGUUGGCAGUAGUAUAGGUUGUACAUAAAAUAGAAGUGGGAUAACAAACAUAAUAAUGGAAGUUCAUAUCUUUUGAGAAAAAAUUGAUUUAUUGGUGUGUUGUUCAUUUUGCUGGUGUAGGGGCUGUGUUGUAUGCAGUAAAAUAUGUUAACUUCUUUUGUUUCAUUGAUGCGAGACAUUAUUUUAUGUUGUUUUCCCAAUGACAUUGUAAAAAUAAUGUUUAUUUCUAUUUCUUUUUCUUAAUCACAUGUUUUUAUCAUUUUUUAUAUAAUUUGUCCCACUAUUGCCAAGUUCUUUUUUUUAAAAUUUUCCAUUUAUUUUAAGAUCCAAGUUCUUUUAUUAUGUGAAUUUGUUUUCCUUUAAAAUGUUGAUAAUUAUUUGGCGACGAAAAUGGUCAAAUAGAUGAUAUGGCGAGUUAAAGUGGACAAAACCAAAGGCCAACAAAACAGAAAAUAGUAGAAUAAAAAUAGAAUUUGGACAGGUGGUUGGCGAAGUGUUGUGGAGACACUCUGAGGUGGUGGUUGAUGAAGUGUUUUGGAGACACUCCGUGAGGUAGUUGUCGAGGAGUUUUAUUUCAGCUUAUAUGUCUUUUGGUCUAUGAAAAUUGAGCAUGUGUUUGUGCUAGAGAGUUCUUCUUCAUUUUUGUUUAAAACCUGAGCAAAGUUCUAGGAUGUCUUAAGUUUAGCGUAGUCUUUUGUAUGGUCUUACUUGAUUUCUUCCCUCUAUAUAUUCUUUUUUCUCAUAAGUAGCAACCACAUGGCAAUGAUUCUAACAACAUAUUCAAUGAAAUCCUUUGCUGCAGAUUCCUAAUAUAGGGUUUCAUAAUCAUCAUCAUCAUCGUCGUCGUCAUCUCUUUCAACUCGGCAAUAGCUCUCUUUUGUUGUUUUACCAUGAUUGUGCUGAGCUGUUUCAGGUAUAUGAUUUGAUAUAUGAUAACUGUCUCUUAAACAUAUUCUUUGCUAGGAUGUGCAUACCAAACAUAUUCAACAUAAAAUAUCUUAGAUGAUAAAAUGUGGGAUUGUUAAAGGGAAUCCUAUAAGUAACUUAGCUGAAGCAAAACCAAAUGGCCUCUAUCCAUUAAUGUCUGAUGAGGUGAGAAUAUGUUUAAGACUUUAGAUAAGGCUACAUUUUUGAAUCAAGAGUUUAGAAAAGUUAGUAUGAACAACCUAUAAUUGCUCCAUCAAGAGUUUCAAAAAGUCAUUGAUGUAAAUCAGAUUCCUAUAUAAUGGUAAGUAUGAAACAAAAAUGGUUUGUCAACAAAGCAAUAAUGCUAUGUUUCGACUUUGUUGUGUGUCGAUCGAUACUCGAUUGCUAACUAUUGUGACCUUUAAAAAAAUAAUAUAUUAGUUUCAGCUGACCAUUCAUGUCCAAGACAAAGAAACAAAACUAGCACAUGAUUUUUCAAGAAAUUGAAAAAUAUAUUGGGAUCAGAUGAAUGAAAGAAUUGAAUUGUCCAAUGGUUUAGAAUACACUAUAUUUAAUUCAAACCUUCAAUUUGGUAUUCAAUGGUCCACUGCAGUCUUAAGGAAUAUGAACUAGAAUGGAAUUAUGGUGUUUUGGCUGCAAAUCUUCCUCACUACCUAAUAUGAACUUGAAAUGAUCACUUUCUCUAAUAAAUUCAGACAAGGAAACACAAUAAGACAUCUUAUAAUAAGCAGACAUACAUAAUGUAUUUAUAGAAAUAGAAAACAUGUAUACACUUAGGUUCUAAACUAAAUUAGCCAAAGUUGUUAAAAGAGAAAUAGCUAGAGAGUGCAACAUUUUUUGUCGAAGAGGUACAAGUAACAUGUUUGUCUUACAUAUAAUCCUUCUACCUUGGCAGAAAAUGUUUGAAAUUUGUAGCAUAUCAUUCAUGUCUAGCAGUGCAUGUAAUAAUUAGAAAUUGCUAUAAUUUUCAGGAGGUCGGGUGCAACUUAAGGGUCCAGCUAUAGACACUGUCCUUGCAUCAAUGGAAUAUUUUCUUCAAAUUGGACAAGAGGUAAUAAACUCUAAACUUCAUGUUUGUGAUUUGUGGCCAUAUAAAUUAUAGCACAAUAAUAUAUCCUUAAGGAACUUACAAUUUUUCAGUUUAAAUUAGAUUUAGCAUAUAUACUUUCAUCAACUACCAUUUUUUUCUUUCCGUUUGUCUAUCAUAAGUUAUCGAGAUAACUAGAAUACCUAAUCAAAUAUCACUACAAAAGAAAGCAUAGUCAAUAGCUUUUCUAUUAAUUUAUAUAAUUGCAGUGCAAUGUUUUCGUCAUUGUUGUUUCAAUUCAGCACACUAAAAGAGUUUAAGGGGUACUAUUUUUUUAAGGAUGUCUUCUUUGACAUUUCAAGCGCAUCAUAAGAGUUUAAGGGGCCUGCUUUUGUUGGUAUGUUUUUCUUUUAAAGAACUAUUCAGUUUAAUGUUACUGAGAUUAGAAAGUUUAGAUCCCUUGGGAUAGGUUGCAGAGUAGGCGUAUUUGCAAUUUAUCAUUUCUCUAAGUGCUAUAUAAUGAUUUUACUUAACNNNNNNNNNNNNNNNNNNNNNNNNNNNNNNNNNNNNNAUGGUUUUCAAGAACCAUUAUUGUUAAUUCAAAUCUCAACAUGGCGAGGCUCGGGAUCAUAUUUGAUAAUUGAUAUGAAUAAGUAUAUAAGUAUAUUUCUAGAGGAUUGGGGCUGUAGAUUUGGAUGUUCUCUUUAUAAUGCUAAAGAAAAAUAAUCUCCUUUGUAUAUAUUUUCAGACCUGCUAAGAAGCGAAAGGGAAAAUAAGAAGAGUUAACUACAAUUUCUCAAUUGG